rnacentral:piRNA from 1 species
UGCAUUAAUAAGUGUGCUGGCUGCACAGGC